AAUUAUAGGGUAUUUUGUUGAAAUUGGACAAAUUAGAGGGAGCAAAAACACCAACCAGUACUUUCUCGGAAAUCUCCUAAAUUGAAAUGAAAAUUAGGUCAAAACCUCAAGAGAAUGUUAAGCAAUCAUUCUGUCCGUAUCAGAAAGCACCACUCUCUCUCUCUCUCUCGUAAAACCCCCAACCCCUAACUCUUCCACUGAAAAUUAGACCAAAUUCAGAAGUAAUGUCUGACUAUUUUCCAAAGGAUAUCAUACAGGAAAUCCUCCAGAGGUUGCCCACCAAGUGUUUGAUCAAAUGCACCUUAGUGUGCAAGCCAUGGAGGUCUCUGAUUCAAAGCCCUAGCUUCAUCCACAGCCACCUCCGCCGCACAAUCCAUUCCAACAACCAGGACGCAGCCGUUGGCCUCCUUCUGCUGAGGGCUUUCGCCGGCAACGAAAACAGUGCGCUUUACUCCUUGCGUUGGGAUAACUCUGAAACCGGUGAGCAUUCCAAGCUUGUAAAUCCUUACCCUUACAUUAAAGAAGCUAUUUUCUCCCCAAGUGAAAGAGUUGUAGUUCGGGACUUCCAUGUGGUAGGAGCUUGUAAUGGGCUCGUAUGCCUUGCUGUUGACUUUGCCUAUGUUGGUUCCCAAACAAUCAUUUGGAACCCUUCUGUUAGAAAGUUUGUAACUUUGCCUAGGCGUGGUGUUUCACUGAGCAAAACUGGCAAGCAUAGAGCAAGCUAUGCUUUUGGGUAUGAUUCGCGUACCAAUGACUAUAAAGUUUUGAGAAGUACGAGUAAUAGGUACGGGAAAACCCCAUGUGAGGUUGAGAUUUGGUCGUUACUCAGGGGCUCCUGGAAGAGUCUUAGUGCUGCUGUUGUUCCAGAAGAUUUCAUGUUUGGAGUUUAUAAUAAUCGUAAUGUUGUUCCUGGGAAUUUUGGGCCUGUAGAUAAACAUGCUUUUGUCAAUGGUGCUCUUCACUGGGUUCAACGCCGUACUGUAGGGGAGGACAAAUUCAUUUUGUGGUUUCAUAUGGGCAGUGAAUUAUUUGGAGAGAUAAUGAUGCCUGAAGGUUUGACAAGAGAGCGUUGCUUUGUUUUAAGGUACGAGGAGUCCCUUGCCUUGUUAAAGAGUGAAGAACUACAGGGAAAUUGUUCUAAAUUCGACAUUUGGGUGAUGAAAGAGCAUGGUGUGGUGGAAUCGUGGACUAAAUUAUUUACCGUACACCUGCAACGCCAUAUGUUGGAGCCAUUUUGUUUUACAAGGAGCGGUGAACUAGUGUUCAAAAUGUGUGGAAGUGGUCGACGGCUGCUAAAGGUGGAUCUUAAGACGGAAGAAUUUAAAUAUUUUGGAAUUGAUGGAUAUAUGUGUCACUUCAUGGAUUCUUUUGUGGAGAGCCUUGUCUUACUUGGCCAAGCCAAUGCUAUUUCUUACUGAGGAGCCAGCAAGAAGUAAGAACAGGGUAGAUAAGGUUUUAUAAAAGUUUGCUUAGGUAUUUUCUGUGAGAGGAGAAGAAGGAUCACUUGAUUGGCUAGAAUUGAGGCUAUUUGAUCUUUCAACUGAAGGGGACGGAUGCUUUAUGGAUUCUUUUGUAGGAUAGUUCUUACUGAGGAGUGGGAAAUAAGAACCAAGAACAGGUGCUGGAAACUAUUUGUUGUAAAGAAGGGGAGGGCCGACGACAAUUGAAAGAGAUGCAAAGCUCCUUGCUCUGCAAUCUGGGGGAAUAUUUCCUUAGUGGAAGAACCUUCCCCCCGCUGGUCAAAUGAACAAACAGUUCUUUGCAGCAGAAAGCAGAAGAGUAUUGAACGUAUGUCUUGGCGUAACAAGAACUUAAUUACCACUUUUUAUGCACAGUUGUUAAAUCCUCCGUCAAAGUGGCAUUUCAAUUCGUAAAAAGAAUUGUUUGCUAUUUUCUUCAUUAGAUUUUUUCGCAAAAAUGUGCUGGUUUGUAAGUUGUCCCGCGAUGGCGUCUGUUGCUCUCAGAUCCAUCCAAGUUGUAGUAAUAUAUCUGUUUCAGAAUGCAAUGUGUUGAGCCAAAAGCGACAGAUGCAGAUUGAAAAUUUGAUCUAACGAAUCGAUUUAUUAA